CACGUAGGGUGCGAGCGUUGUCCGGAAUUAUUGGGCGUAAAGAGCGUGUAGGCGGCCAGGUAGGUCUGCUGUGAAAACUCGAGGCUUAACCUCGAGAUGUCGGCGGAAACCAUCUGGCUAGAGUCCGGAAGAGGAGAGUGGAAUUCCUGGUGUAGCGGUGAAAUGCGCAGAUAUCAGGAAGAACACCCGUGGCGAAGGCGGCUCUCUGGGACGGUACUGACGCUGAGGCACGAAAGCGUGGGGAGCAAACAGG
rnacentral:rRNA from 1 species